CGUGGAAGGAGGAUCUGCCGCGCUAAACGGCCAGCACAGUGGACCUUCUGCUUCCUUCAGCUUUGAACCCCCAGCUCAGGACCCUGAAGACACUCAGCAAUUAGGGAGUGGGCUGGGUGACCUCAGGCAAGUGACCAGUCUGUUUUUGCCUCCAGACCUGUUUUUCCAUCUGUACAACGAGGAUAGUAUAAGCACCCGCCCAUUGAGAUUGCUGCACUGAAAGUUCAAUACCUGCCUUCCCUUGUGGAGAACACAGCGGCAGGACCAUACUAGGUGCUCAAUAAACAUUUGUUGCCCGUAUCAAUACA